CAGUAGCCACGGUAAUACGAAGGGUGCAAGCGUUAAUCGGAAUUACUGGGCGUAAAGCGUGCGCAGGCGGUUUGUUAAGACAGAUGUGAAAUCCCCGGGCUCAACCUGGGAACUGCAUUUGUGACUGGCGAGCUAGAGUGUGGCAGAGGGGGGUGGAAUUCCGCGUGUAGCAGUGAAAUGCGUAGAUAUGCGGAGGAACACCGAUGGCGAAGGCAGCCCCCUGGGCCAACACUGACGCUCAUGCACGAAAGCGUGGGGAGCAAACAGGAUUAGAUACCCCUGUAGUCCCUGUCUCUUAUAC
rnacentral:rRNA from 1 species